AUUUAAAUAGCUUAAGAUAAGAGUAUAAUAUUGAAGAUAUUAAGGUAAUAUUAAAUAUUUUUAAAUA
rnacentral:tRNA from 1 species